rnacentral:rRNA from 1 species
UACGGAGGAUGCAAGCGUUAUCCGGAUUUAUUGGGCGUAAAGCGUCCGCAGGUGGUUUUCCAAGUCUGCUGUCAAAGAGCGAAGCUCAACUUCGUAAAGGCAGUGGAAACUACACGGCUAGAGUGCGUUCGGGGCAGAGGGAAUUCCUGGUGUAGCGGUGAAAUGCGUAGAGAUCAGGAAGAACACCGGUGGCGAAGGCGUUCUGCUAGGCCGCAACUGACACUGAGGGACGAAAGCUAGGGGAGCGAAUGGG